rnacentral:rRNA from 1 species
GUGCCAGCCGCCGCGGUAAUACGGAGGGUGCGAGCGUUAAUCGGAAUUACUGGGCGUAAAGCGCAUGCAGGUGGUUUGCUAAGUCAGAUGUGAAAGCCCGGGGCUCAACCUCGGAAUUGCAUUUGAAACUGGCAGGCUAGAGUACUGUAGAGGGGGGUAGAAUUUCAGGUGUAGCGGUGAAAUGCGUAGAGAUCCGAAGGAAUACCGGUGGCGAAGGCGGCCCCCUGGACAGAUACUGACACUCAGAUGCAAAAGCGUGAGUAGCAAACAGGAUUAGAUACCCUAGUAGUCC